AUGGAUGUGAAUUUUGUUGGUAGGAACAAUUUUGGUAACAACGCUUAUAGAAGAAACUUUAAUCCUAGGCCGUAUCCUAGUAAUUCCUCUAAUAAUUAUGGCAAUUCCUACAACAAUUCUUUUGGAAAUUUUAAUAAGUUGCCCUCUGAUUUUGAGACUAGUGUUAAAGAGUUUAUGCAUUCGCAAAAGAAUUUCAAUACUUUGCUUGAAGAAAAAUUGCUUAAAGUUGACGAAUUGGCUAGGAACGUGGAUAGAAUUUCUCUUGAUGUUGAUUCUUUGAAUCUUAGAUCUAUUCCACCUAAGCAUGAUAUCAAUGAGUCUCUCAAAGCCAUGAGAAUUUCCAUUGAUGAGUGCAAAGAAAGAACCGCAAGGAUGUGUGCUAAGAAAGAUUGUUUUGUGAAGGCGUGUUCUUCUAGUUUUUAUGAGAAUAAAGAUGAAGAUCUAAAAGUUAUUGAUGUGUCCCCUAUUAAAUCUUUGUUUUUCAAUACGAAUCUUGAUAAUGAUGGGACUGUAGAUGAGUCAACUUUAGUUAGAAGGCGUCCCAAAAAUUCGGAGUUUUUA
rnacentral:rRNA from 1 species